CUUUUGCUGAGAGUGGAAAUGCCUCCGCUGAAAUGAUCUUGUGGAAGUAGGAAGACGCAAGAAGAAAACAUUCAAGUAGCCUGUAGCAGCCUGCACACUGCUACGAACAGAAGGAAAGCACGCAAAAGGAAAUAUGACUUGGAGGACAAACACAUCUGGCACAUUAUUAUUGGUUACUCCCUACCAUACAACGUGCCCUCAGCUGGUAGCAAUUACGCUAACUGCUACCUCCAAAGGGGAAACUAGUAUUGCCAGCCAUGAAUGAGGUUAACUGUGAAAAGUGAGAAAAGGAAGAAGCUGGAGAUAUGCCUAAGCAGUAUUUCUAUGCCUCCACAAGGAGAACCAUCCUUAUGCUUUGGAGACAGUGAACCGUGUGGCUUUUUGUCAGAGUGAAUCAGGUGAAGGCAUUGGUUUUCUUGGAACAAGCUGCAAAACCUUCCCCUCCCUUUGCCACAAACAUCCUACCAGAUGUAAUACAGCUGAUUUCUCAAAAGUGUGCUUUUUCUUUCUAGUGGGCAAGUAAAGCAAUGUUAAUCACUAGUGGGUGUUUUAGGUAAC